rnacentral:rRNA from 1 species
GCCAGCAGCCAUAUCACUCUGCAGCUCCCAGCUGGCAGCCCACUGAAGCCCAGCAGGUGUGAGCCUGGUCAGUACCUGGAUGGGAGACCUCCUGGCAAAAACUAAGGCUGCUGCUGGAA